rnacentral:rRNA from 1 species
UAUCAAAAACAUGUCUUUAUGAAGAUAUAUACAGUCUGGCCUGCCCACUGAAUUUUAAAGGGCCGCGGUAUUUCUGACCGUGCGAAGGUAGCAUAAUCAUUAGUCUUUUAAUUUGAGGCUCGUAUGAAUGGUCGGACGAGGGAUAAACUGUUUCAGGUGAAAAACUCGAAUUUAACUUUUAAGUGAAAAGGCUUAAAUAUUUCAAAAAGACGAUAAGACCCUAUAAAUCUUAACAUUAAAUUUCAUGUAAUUCUAGCUUAUUAGUGUAAAGAAACCCAUGGUAAAAAUGUUAUGUUGGGGCAACAAAGAUAUAAAAAAAUUAACUGUUUUAUCAUUUAAACAAAAAUCAUUGAAUUUCUAGAUCCUUUUUUAAGAUUUAAAGAUCAAGUUACUUUAGGGAUAACAGCGUCAUUCUUUUUGAGAGUCCCCAUCGAAAAAAGAGUUUGCGACCUCGAUGUUGAAUUAAAAGAUCUUUAUGGUGCAGCAGCUAUAAAAAAAAGUCUGUUCGACUUUUAAACUUCUACGUGAUCUGAGUUCAGAC